rnacentral:rRNA from 1 species
CUACGUAGGGUGCGAGCGUUGUCCGGAAUUACUGGGCGUAAAGAGCUCGUAGGUGGUUUGUCGCGUCGUCUGUGAAAUUCCGGGGCUUAACUCCGGGCGUGCAGGCGAUACGGGCAUAACUUGAGUACUGUAGGGGAGACUGGAAUUCCUGGUGUAGCGGUGAAAUGCGCAGAUAUCAGGAGGAACACAGGUGGCGAAGGGGGGUCUCUGGGCAGUAACUGACGCUGAGGAGCGAAAGCAUGGGUAGCGAACAGGAUUAGAUCCCCUGGUAGUCCAUGCCGUAAACGGUGGGCGCUAGGUGUAGGGGUCUUCCACGACUUCUGUGCCGUAGCUAACGCAUUAAGCGCCCCGCCUGGGGAGUACGGCCGCAAGGCUAAAACUCAAAGGAAUUGGCGGGG